rnacentral:rRNA from 1 species
UAGGGAAUCUUCCGCAAUGGACGCAAGUCUGACGGAGCAACGCCGCGUGAGUGAAGAAGGAUUUCGGUUCGUAAAACUCUGUUGUUAGAGAAGAACAGCGCAUAGAGUAACUGUUAUGCGUGUGACGGUAUCUAACCAGAAAGCCACGGCUAACUACGUGCCAGCAGCCGCGGUAAUACGUAGGUGGCAAGCGUUGUCCGGAUUUAUUGGGCGUAAAGCGAGCGCAGGCGGUCAAUUAAGUCUGAUGUGAAAGCCCCCGGCUCAACCGGGGAGGGUCAUUGGAAACUGGUUGACUUGAGUGCAGAAGAGGAGAGUGGAAUUCCAGGUGUAGCGGUGAAAUGCGUAGAUAUAUGGAGGAACACCAGUGGCGAAGGCGACUCUCUGGUCUGUAACUGACGCGGAGGCUCGAAAGCGUGGGUAGCAAACAGG